CUUGUGCCAUGUGCUUCAAUAAAAUAGGGCCCAGAAAGUUUGGAGGCCAGGCGAGCAGUGGGAUACCAGCGGAUAGGAAGUGACGGAACUGCAUGAAUUGCAGGAGAGAAGAAAAAGAAGGGAAUAUCAACAGAAAGCAGAAUGAAAAGCAAUAUGCAAUCAUCAGACUAUUGCCUGUAGCGUGGGGGAAACUGAACAGUGCAUAAUCUUAUGAACAACACCAGAGCAAGAGACUUUCAAUGGAAGUUAACUCAGCUGCCAGAAGUGAAACAUGAUAUUACUCGAAUACAAGCAGGGAUAUAUGACACUCAUUACUUUUGUGGCGGACUUCAAACAGGAAAACGGUCAAUCGCUGUCACAUCCUGAGUGGAAGCUGGAGGGGAAACUGACACAGCUGACAGAUUUCUGCAAGAACAAACAACAGCAUAUAUAUUUUUUUUUAAAAUCAACACAAGCACAGUGAAAUGUUAAACAGCUGUUUACUACAGUGCACUUGUGUCAAGCUGUGCCUCAGGGCAGGAAGCUAUUGGAUAUUGAGCUUUACAACAGGAUAUGUGUGGGCAGAGAGGACCUGCACUGGGCAGACGGAAGUGAAUAUUCAUUAGUGAUAAAAGAAUAGUUUCAUCUGCUGAUAAAAAUAGA